GAUGAACGCUGGCGGCGUGCCUAAUACAUGCAAGUCGAACGCACAGCGAAAGGUGCUUGCACCUUUCAAGUGAGUGGCGAACGGGUGAGUAACACGUAGACAACCUGCCUCAAGGCUGGGGAUAACAUUUGGCAACAGAUGCUAAUACCGAAUAAAACUCAGUGUCGCAUGACACAAAGUUAACAAGCGCUUUGGCGUCACCUAGAGAUGGAACCGCGGUGAAUUAGUUAGUUGGUGGGGUAAAGGCCUACCAAGACAAUGAUGCAUAGACGGGUGGAGAGACUGAUCGGCCACAUUGGGACUGAGACACGGCCCAAACUCCUACGGGAGGCUGCAGUAGGGAAUCUUCCACAAUGGGCGAAAGCCUGAUGGAGCAACGCCGCGUGUGUGAUGAAGGCUUUCGGGUCGUAAAGCACUGUUGUAUGGGAAGAACAGCUAGAAUAGGGAAUGAUUUUAGUUUGACGGUACCAUACCAGAAAGGGACGGCUAAAUACGUGCCAGCAGCCGCCGUAA
rnacentral:rRNA from 1 species